rnacentral:rRNA from 1 species
UAGGGAAUCUUCGGCAAUGGACGGAAGUCUGACCGAGCAACGCCGCGUGAGUGAAGAAGGUUUUCGGAUCGUAAAGCCCUGUUGUAAGAGAAGAACGAGUGUGAGAGUGGAAAGUUCACACUGUGACGGUAUCUUACCAGAAAGGGACGGCUAACUACGUGCCAGCAGCCGCGGUAAUACGUAGGUCCCGAGCGUUGUCCGGAUUUAUUGGGCGUAAAGCGAGCGCAGGCGGUUAGAUAAGUCUGAAGUUAAAGGCUGCGGCUUAACCUUAGUAGGCUUUGGAAACUGUUUAACUUGAGUGCAAGAGGGGAGAGUGGAAUUCCAUGUGUAGCGGUGAAAUGCGUAGAUAUAUGGAGGAACACCGGUGGCGAAAGCGGCUCUCUGGCUUGUAACUGACGCUGAGGCUCGAAAGCGUGGGGAGCAAACAGGAUUAGAUACCCUGGUAGUCCACGCCGUAACGAUGAGUGCUAGGUGUUAGACCCUUUCCGGGGUUUAGUGCCGUAGCUAACGCAUUAAGCACUCCGCCUGGGGAGUACGACCGCAAGGUU